UAUGGAGGGUUGUGGGCGGGUUGUGGCCAAUCAGAAAUGAUCGCUUGACAGCAUCUAGAGAGGGACCAAUAGCAAGGGCCCACGAGGUCGCGUGGCUAUGGAAGGGGGCGGGGCUAUGAGAAGAGGCGCAAAGAGACCGACCAGGGGCGGCCGAGAAGCUGCGCAGCCUCGGGCCGCUCUCCCGCCUGCUGCUGGUAACGCCCCUUUUAGCUUCUGAGAACCCAGGCCCGCUUCACCCCCAAGUCCCUAAAAAGUCAGGUCCAAGUAACGUUUGCGGACUCCUGUCGUGAUCUUCCUGGGUGUGCGCCGUGGGGAGGACUCAGCCAAAGGUUCGGAGCCAGGCUGGAGCAAAAGGGCAGACUGGAGAGGGACUUGACAUUUUGGUAGAAGAGAAAAACGCCACUAAUCAACCAUUUAUUGAGGACCUACUGUGUGUGUUGGGUAGUCUGACAAACGCUGUGGAUCCUGUCGCCAACAAAGACACUGUCCAUUAUGGUCCAAUCAGUUCAGUACUACAACGACCUAACGCUGUCUAGACAGGGCCUUGAUGGAAAAAUAAUACCAGAGAGAUGGACCUCCGUGCUAAAGAAACAAAAAGGCAGGAAAGAUCUGGAGUGUGAAAGGUGGCAGCAGAGAAUAUCCAACACUGCAGACAGAAUCAACAGUUGAACAACGGUGUUUAUUAGAGCCAUUACGUUGAAAAUAAGAUCCAGAACUUGAGUGAACACUUGCCAACUCCAGAGAUGAGAGGAAGUUUGACUUUGGGUUCAGAGCUGCCCCAGGCCGUGGCCACCCCCAUCUCCAAACCUGAACUGAGCUAUCCAGAGGCUGUUUAACAUCCAUGGCUCGAGUCUGUCUGAGAAGUGUGUGGCAUCAGCGGAACUUGGUAUUCACAGAAGGUGAGCAAACAGAGGUCGGGAUAGAGAGAGCAUCAGUAAGAAUUGUAAGAACCCCAUUGGUAUUGCCGCAGCCAGCCCUGUGUCCGUCCUGCUAGGCUUAAAGGUGGCUCCCUACUUGCCUGAUUAGCAGGAUCUGCUAUGUGAAUGUUAAAAGGCCUUUUAAUAAAAAAAAAAAAAAAAUCCAGUACCAGA